GAGGGCGAGAGCUAGCUGUCCCCAUAGUGCCUGAUGCUUUUAUUUCUAGACUUUUCUACUUAAGAGUAAUUUAACAUCUACGUGGAAAUGCUGAAGUAAGAAACCACUACAAGAAAAUAAGAGAAUUUCCAGAAUCCAUCUGGCUUUUAUAAGGCGAUGGAGAAUAAACCAGAAGCCAAGGUCACAGAUGGGGAUGAAGAAGGGAACCCAGGCUUCUCUUUUGAAGAUGGCAAGUUCGGAGGAUGCAUUACAAACAUCUUGCCUGUUAUGGAUGCCAGCUUGGGCCAGGCUGUGUGCUGAGAACAGAUGGACCAUUUACUUACUCUGCUAUUCAGUGCCCCGGUGACCAUGCUGUGCUUCCUGUCAAGCCUGAGACAAGUAAGACAGGCAAGCAUGGUGUGUAGAAUGAAGAUCUCCCCGUACGGUAACACCCUGAGCUCCAGCAAGCCUGCUGUGGGUCCCAUGUGCUACCUGAGUAUGUAAACAUGCCCUUUGUCCCAACAGGUAAACUUCCCCUGAACCUGGUUUUAAUAUCAACAUAGAUCUCAGCCCAGAAAUUUCAGAGCUAGGGAAUUUCUACUGCAGCAAGCCAGUGGCCAUGAGGACAACAGACAUGGCUUGUAGUAAUUCUGGGGACACCAAAAAAUUUGAAGACUCACCAUUAUUGUUUGAAUGUGAGCAGUGGUCUAUGGAAUCCUCUUUGAACACUUGGUACCUGGCUAACAGUGCUGUUCUGGGAAGCUAGGGAGCCUUUGGGAAGAGAGCCUGGAAGGUGACAGCUGUUUCUACCCCACUUUCCCCAAGACAGGGUCUUUCUGUGUAGCCCUGGCUGUCUUGGAACUCAAUCUGUAGACCAGGCUGUCCUUCAACUUGGAUACCCCAGUGCUGGAUUAAAGGUGUGGGCCACCACUACUUCUUUUCUUUCUUUCUUUCUUUCUUUCUUUCUUUCUUUCUUUCUUUCUUUC
rnacentral:lncRNA from 1 species